rnacentral:lncRNA from 1 species
CCCAGAGGCAUUGAAUCAGUCACCUGUUGGAGCCGAGAGGCAUUGAAUCAGUCACCUGUUGGAGCCCAGAGGCAUUGAAUCAGUCACCUGUUGGAGCCCAGAGGCAUUGAAUCAGUCUGCUGUGGGAGCCCAGAGGCAUUGAAUCAGUCUGCUGUGGGAGCCCAGCGGCAUUGAAUCAGUCACCUGUUGGAGCUGAGAGGCAUUGAAUCAGUCACCUGUUGGAGCCCAGAGGCAUUGAAUCAGUCACCUGUUGGAGCCCAGAGGCAUUGAAUCAGUCACCUGUUGGAGCCCAGAGGCAUUGAAUCAGUCUGCUGUGGGAGCCCAGAGGCAUUGAAUCAGUCUGCUGUGGGAGCCCAGAGGCAUUGAAUCAGUCUGCUGUGGGAGCCCAGCGGAGAGGAAGAACAAUCAGUGGGAAAAGGGCAACAUGACUUCUGACAGACACAGAGAGACAGCGCCCUCACAUAUCCUCAUUCACACACACACACACACACACACACACACACACACACACACACACACACACACACACACACGAACAGGCAUGUUCAAUCACACACACACACUUAUUGUAUAACACACACAAACACACAGAAACAAGAACACACUCUAGCACACCACAAACGUAUACACACGACGGCCCUCGGUGGAGCUCUCUCUGGUUGACUAGUCAUGGAGCUGGCAACAGGGUCGUCAGUCAGGUCAUUGUUCUGAGAGAAUAUAAUAUAAAAUGGAUUUGUUUUAUACUGCUUUUAUCCAUGUGUGUGUGUGUGUGUGUGUGUGUGUGUGUGUGUGUGUGUGUGUGUGUGUGUGUGUGUGUGUGUGUGUGAGAUGUAUAAUGUAUGCCAUAUCCAGAUCAGAAGCUGUAUAUAUUGCAAGGUUUGCUUCUUGUGCUUCUUUGCCUCAUAGCCAAUCCAUAGAGAAGGUUUGCUUUUUGUGUUUCUUUACCGCGUAGCCAAUCCAUAGAGAAGGUUAUAGCCUUGUGCUCAGAGCUCCCUGCAGAGCAGCAAACCCACGCGUAGGAGCUGAACCCCCUGAAGACAAAGCACUAGCUUGUAGACAGACAGACGGACAGACGAUGAGUUUCCCCAAAUAUUUCUUUCUUUUAAAUUUCGCUGUGCUGCUGCAGUACCAUAUCUUUCCCUGAUGAGUGGGUGUGUGUGUGUGCGUGCAGGCAUCUGUUCCCGACAGUUUCCAAAGAUUACAAUUUGAAGCUGGGUUAACAGAGACUAGAACUAGCAGGACUUUGAGAAGAUAGGCGUGUGAACUGUUUUAAUUGCUGUUUCUGUCCUUCCAGUCCUCUGCUAUACAUCCCUGUGUUAUCUUUACCAAUGCAGACACUGGGAAAGAACAAAACUUCACCAGAAAGAGGUGAAAUGAAACAGCUUUUCUUCUGCCUAGAUGCACCAAAUCUCAGUCACAGUGCUGUUGCUAUGGGACUCGGGCAAACUACUAUGAAAACAGGAUGACUCUGCAACCGACGUAAAGGAUCAAAUAAAAUAUAAUUACCUUCUAUUUGUCACAUACUUCUUAAACAAGAGUUGAAAACUAACAGUGAAAAGCAAACUUACGGGCCCUUCCCAACCAUGAAGACAGAAAGAAAAGAGAAAUAAUUGAAAAAUAGGAAUAAAUAACAUUACGAAUAAAUACACAAUGAGUAAGGAUAGCUUGUCUUUAUACGCGGGCUAUCAGUACUGAGUCCAUGUGCAGGAGUACAAGGUAAUUGACGUAGAUGUGUACAUACUGUAUAGGUAGGGAUAAAGUGAUAGCGAAUAAACAGUAGCAGAGACAGUAACUAGGCAACAGGAUAGAUAAUAAACAGUAACAGCAGUGUAUGUGACGAGUCAAAAGAGUUAGUGCAAGAAGGGUCAAUGCAGAUAGCUAUUGGUUAACUAGUUAAUGAACUAUUUAGCAGUCUUAUAGCUUGGGGGUAGAAGCUGUUCAGGGUUCUGUUGUUUCCAGACUUGGUGCAUCAGUACCGUUUGCCGUGCGAUAGCAGAGAACAGUCUAUGACUUGGGUGGAUGAAGUUUUUUAGGGCUUUCCUCUGACACCGCCUGGUAUAGAGGUCCACGGCUGGCAAGGAAGCCCAAGAGGCAGCCCCCCAAAAACAUUUUGGGGGGGCACACGGG